rnacentral:rRNA from 1 species
CAGGCCUAACACAUGCAAGUCGAACGCACCUUCGGGUGAGUGGCAGACGGGUGAGUAACACGUGGGAACGUACCCUUUGGUUCGGAACAACUCCGGGAAACUGGAGCUAAUACCGGAUACGCCCUUAUGGGGAAAGGUUUAUCUGCCGAAGGAUCGGCCCGCGUCUGAUUAGCUUGUUGGUGGGGUAACGGCCUACCAAGGCGACGAUCAGUAGCUGGUCUGAGAGGAUGAUCAGCCACACUGGGACUGAGACACGGCCCAGACUCCUACGGGAGGCAGCAGUGGGGAAUAUUGGACAAUGGGCGCAAGCCUGAUCCAGCCAUGCCGCGUGAGUGAUGAAGGCCUUAGGGUUGUAAAGCUGUUUUGUCCGGGACGAUAAUGACGGUAUCGGAAGAAUAAGCCCCGGCUAACUUGGUGCCAGCAGCCGCGGUAA